rnacentral:rRNA from 1 species
AAGUCGUAACAAGGUUUCCGUAGGUGAACCUGCGGAAGGAUCAUUAACGAGUUUUGUACCAAUACGGUACAAUCUUCAUCCAUAACACCUGUGAACUUUACAUUAACAUUUGCUUUGGCUGGACGUAAAAAACCUAGCCAAAGGAUUAAACAAAACCUUUUAUUUAAUAACCUAUUGUCUGAAUUGUAAUAAUUUUAAUUAUUCAAAACUUUCAACAACGGAUCUCUUGGUUCUCGCAUCGAUGAAGAACGCAGCGAAAUGCGAUAAGUAUUGUGAAUUGCAGAUUUGUGAAUCAUCGAAUUUUUGAACGCACAUUGCGCCCUCUGGUAUUCCGGGGGGCAUGCCUGUUCGAGCGUCAUUGCUUUCUCAAACCCUCUGGUUUGGUGUUGAAUUUAUUAUGUAGCAAUACAUAUGAUUCGAAAAGCAUUGGCAAGGCUAUUUGAGCUUUUCUUACAACGUAUUAGGUUUUACCAACUCGUUGGCUACAGUAAGUUUGAAAAUAAAGCCUGGCUUUAGAACUCUCUAAAGUUUGACCUCGGAUCAGGUAGGAUUACCCGCUGAACUUAAGCAUAUCAAUAAGCGGAGGAAAAGAAACCAACAGGGAUUACCUUGGUAACGGCGAGUGAAGCGGUAAAAGCUCAAAUUUGAAAUCUAGCGUCUUUGGCGUUCGAGUUGUAAUUUGAAGAUGGUAAUCUUGGAUAUAGUCUUCGGCUAUGUUCCUUGGAACAGGACGUCACAGAGGGUGAGAAUCCCGUGUGCUGAGGUGCCUAUAUCCAUGUAAGAUGCUAUCGAAGAGUCGAGUUGUUUGGGAAUGCAGCUCUAAGUGGGUGGUAAAUUCCAUCUAAAGCUAAAUAUUGGCGAGAGACCGAUAGCGAACAAGUACAGUGAUGGAAAGAUGAAAAGAACUUUGAAAAGAGAGUGAAAAAGUACGUGAAAUUGUUGAAAGGGAAGGGCAUGAGGUCAGACUUGGUAUUAAGCGAUCAUUUCCUCUCGGGGUUGUGCUCUCGCUUUUUACUGGGCCAGCAUCAGUUUGGACGGUAAGAUAAUGACAUUGGAAUGUGGCUUUCUUCGGGAAGUGUUAUAGCCCUUGUUGAUGUUACCAGUCUGGACUGAGGACCGCGCAUUAUUGCUAGGAUGCUGGCGUAAUGGCCUUAUGCCGCC